AUGAUCAUCUUGCAUUUCGAGUUAUUCCUUACAUUUUAUAUCCUAUGUCGGAAUUUACCAUGUCAAUGUGUCUCAAAAGACCAAGGAGGCAUGGGCUUUCGAGAUAUACAUUGUUUCAAUCUGGCUUUGCUAGCCAAACAGGCGUGGCGUUUGCUUGAUAAUCUAGAAUCGUUAUGUGCUACAAUCUUGAGAGCAAAAUACUUCUCAGAUGGUGAUUUAAUGAAUGCAAAUCUAAAGAAGGGUUCAUCUUUUACCUGUCAAAGCAUUAUGACAGGAGUUAAUUCCCUAAGGAAUGGUUACAUCUGGCGAGUUGGAAAUGGACAAAAGAUUGAUAUUUGGGAAAAUGCAUGGAUCCCGAAUUGUGCAAGUAGGAAAAUUAUUACUCCUAGAAGGAGGCAUCUUUUGUCAAAGGUGUCUGACCUUAUUGACCCAAUCAUGAAUUGUUGGGAUGGAGACUUGGUAAGACAAACUUUGUGGCCAAUUGACGCUCAAAGGGUGCUCGCGAUUCCCCUUCCGAUGCAUGAUAUGUCGGACUUCAUUGCUUGGAGUUAUACAAAAAAUGGCUUGUUCGCUGUUCAAUCAGCUUAUUCGGAGGAAUGGAACCAACAACAUGGGAGGAAAUUGCAAUAUACAAAUUGUAUGGGUAGAACCAAUGCUAAUCCUAUCUGGGGUAAGAUCUGGAAACUAUCUUGUGCGGCAAAGGUAAAAAAUUUCAUACGGCAUACAUUGCAUGGAACUCUCCCGUGCCGUGUUACGCUCGCUAAUAGACACAUGAAAAUUUUGCCCAUCUGCCCAUCAUGCUCAAAUGGGCCAGAAGACACAAAACACGUCUUGUUUCUAUGUCAGAAGGCGAAAGAGGUUUGGAACAAGUUAGGAUUGUAUGAGGUGAUCAAUAGAGCUUGUAGUGUCGAUCGGGCGGGAGAGACAGUUCUUGAAUUGUUACUACUUAUGCCAGACCAAGAAUUAUUUGUAUUGGGACUCCAGAACGUACGUGAACUGAUUGCUAUAACAACUUGGUAUCUAUGGUGGAUAGACGUAAACUGGUUCAUGAAGGAAAGUCUCAAGAUGCACAUCAAACUUCGAUGGGGGCUCAUGCCAUAA
rnacentral:rRNA from 1 species